UACGUAGGGUGCGAGCGUUAGUCGGAAUUACUGGGCGUAAAGCGUGCGCAGGCGGUUUUGUAAGCCAGAUGUGAAAUCCCCGGGCUUAACCUGGGAACUGCAUUUGUGACUGGCGGGCUAGAGUAUGGCAGAGGGGGGUAGAAUUCCACGUGUAGCAGUGAAAUGCGUAGAGAUGUGGAGGAAUACCGAUGGCGAAGGCAGCCCCCUGGGCCAAUACUGACGCUCAUGCACGAAAGCGUGGGGAGCAAACAGG
rnacentral:rRNA from 1 species